AUUGAACGCUGGCGGCAUGCUUUACACAUGCAAGUCGAACGAUGAACCUUAGCUUGCUCCGGGGCUUAGUGGCGAACGGGUGAGUAAUAUAUCGGAGCGUGCCUUGUAAUGGGGGAUAACUAGUCGAAAGAUUAGCUAAUACCGCAUACGCCCUGAGGGGGAAAGUAGGGGAUCUUCGGACCUUACGUUAUAAGAGCGGCCGAUAUCUGAUUAGCUAGUUGGUGGGGUAAUGGCCUACCAAGGCGACGAUCAGUAGCUGGUCUGAGAGGACGACCAGCCACACUGGAACUGAGACACGGUCCAGACUCCGACGGGAGGCAGCAGUGGGGAAUUUUGGACAAUGGGCGCAAGCCUGAUCCAGCCAUACCGCGUGAGUGAAGAAGGCCUUCGGGUUGUAAAGCUCUUUCGCAAGGGAAGAAAACAUGCCAUCGAAUAAAUGGUGAGGCUGACGGUACCUUGAUAAGAAGCACCGGCUAACUACGUG
rnacentral:rRNA from 1 species